rnacentral:rRNA from 1 species
GUGGGGAAUUUUGGACAAUGGGCGCAAGCCUGAUCCAGCAAUGCUGCGUGCAGGAAGAAGGCCUUCGGGUUGUAAACUGCUUUUGUACGGAACGAAACGGUCCUGGUUAAUACCUGGGGCUAAUGACGGUACCGUAAGAAUAAGCACCGGCUAACUACGUGCCAGCAGCCGCGGUAAUACGUAGGGUGCGAGCGUUAAUCGGAAUUACUGGGCGUAAAGCGUGCGCAGGCGGUGCUGUAAGACAGGCGUGAAAUCCCCGGGCUCAACCUGGGAAUUGCGCUUGUGACUGCAGUGCUGGAGUACGGCAGAGGGGGAUGGAAUUCCGCGUGUAGCAGUGAAAUGCGUAGAUAUGCGGAGGAACACCGAUGGCGAAGGCAGUCCCCUGGGCCUGUACUGACGCUCAUGCACGAAAGCGUGGGGAGCAAACAGGAUUAGAAACCCUGGUAGUCC